GCUAAGAAUAUGAAUACUGAAAAACAAAUGUCCUAAACUGAAUUUAACUCAGUUUCUUAAUGUUCACUUUGGAGUGAUCCAUUUGUGCCCUAAAAUAAAUGUUCUCUGACAUUUGAUUCUCAUUUAAUAUUCACCUUGGUUGAAGCUUCUGGGUCUCCAUCCCUCUUCCACCUCCCUCCCUCUUCAACUCUUGGUUGCCCAGCAACCUCAAACAGCUGGUUGCCCAAACCGGAAAAGUAAAUGGGAUUAACUCUGGAGGAAACUAAUUGAAGGAAGCAUUAGUAUGCUCCCAAUCAGAAUUCUUUCAAAACUAGCUGAUUAAGUUGUGCUUUGCUGUCCUAAGUAAGAAUGUGGACUGUGGAGUGUACAGGUGGAAGAACUGUCAAACACUUGAAGACACACAGCAGUGGUGACAGCAGCUACUUACUGUAUAAUAGCACUUAACAGACCAUAGUCCUCUACCUGCAAAAAGGCGUAAAAUUAUAUUACAAGUCUUUUGCCCACUCUUCCUCUCAUUCCUGUAUUCAUGCAUGAAUCCAUACAUUCAUUCACUCACUCCCUUACCCAAUCCAGUUAAAUAUUUAUUGAGAGACAGCAGGCUAUUACAGAUAUUCUGUGGACUGUGGGUGAACCUGACAUUGGUUUCAAUGCUAACUCUACCACUUUCUAGCUGACAAUGAACUAAUUUUCUUAAACUUACUGGGUCUUCAUUUCACCAUUGGUAAAAAUCAAGUUAUCAAAACCUACCUCAAAGAGAUACUGUGAGGAUUAAGUAAGAUAGAACAUGCAAAACAACCAUUUACAGUGAUUUGGCCAGAUUAGACCUUCCAUUGAUUCACUUUCCCUUCUACUACAUGAAAUUGAAAUGUGGAAGAAAAAUUGGAGGUGUGUUAGCUAGUUUGUGACUGUAUUUUAAGCACAAAGCCAAGACAAGAAUGAAAUUUUAGCAGUAGUAAUUAAGAGGACAGGAUAGACAUGAGACUUUUUUUAAUGAAUAGAAUAGGGUGAAUGAUACAUCAUUAGAAAUUGUCAAAGGAAUCUCCAAUUUUUUGAGACUGGAUAAUCUCAGAGAAUGGUGGUGUCAUUAAGGAACUAGCAACCAAGGAAGGGAAGUUAGUUUGUCAAACAAUUUAGGUUUAAGUACUGGAGGCAGAGCUGACGCUGGGGUAGAACAAUGAAGGGCAUCACCUUGACUUCUAUUUGCCUUGUUUCCAUUCUGCUCUCACACACAGCUAGCUAGAACAAUGGAGGAGGCAGGGGCAGGUGAAGAAACAGAUGCAUUCAGCUGGAGUUAUAAAAGAACCUAGGGUGCUUACAUGAGUUAGAACUCUGGUAUCCAAAUAUUGAGCAUCAACCUUUUAAACAAUUUUCAAGAUUUCUUUUCCUCAGAGCAAAAGAAUUGACAACUGCUUUCUAGACCAACUCAUAUUGGUCCUAUAUAGCCCCUAGAACUCUGUGUGCUGGGAAAUGUCCCUCGGUGGAUGGGGCUCCUGAAUAUCUGCAGACUAGAAGCACCCACUCAGAACCUGUGUUCUCAUUUUCUCUGCUGGUCAGAUAAGUGUUUUCAGGGACUGGAUAAGGAAACCAUGAAGGCUAGACUGGUCCAAUCCAGAGUUUUAAAGCUCAAACAAGUACUUUUAGGGACAUGCAUUCUGAGUGAGGUACAAAGCUGAUAUGCAGGAUGGAAUGAUGUAGCUGUGAAUAAGCCUAGCAUGGUUGUUGUUUAUUAUCACUCAUUAAAAAGAAGUAAAAUAGCUUCUUUUUGAAUAUGGUCAUCCACUGUGCUAUAAAGUGUUAGUAAAAAUUAAAGAAGUAGUUAAUAGGAAAAGGAUAACUUAAAGUGUAAAGAUUGGAUAGAAAUGAGACAGGAAAGAAAGGCAAGAACCCGUGCAAUGAUUUUCCCACUUGUAAAUUUGGAGAUGCUUGAAGGAUUUCUGGAAGAGUGAUAAGGUGUGCAGGAAUGGCUGCCUGGCAAUUUCAUUCCUCAGGAUGAGUGAUGCUUUUUGCAAUUCUUCUUCUCUUAUUUACCCUUCAAGAAUGCCCUUGUUAAGUCUAUCCACUUUUCAUCUGAAUAAUAAUAAUGUAAAAAGUUCUGUGGAGGCAGGGAUGGCGAUAAUAUGCAACAUAGAUUUCAAGAGGUCUGCACAGUUUCAAGAUCUGCCCUUGUAGUAGGAUGUCCUGUUACCUUCUCCUUCCCUUUUCUCUUUUUUGAACAUCUAUAUAUUCCCAAAUGUUUCCUUGUAUAAAUUUAAAAAAAAUGUGAACUCCUCUCCAAUACAGUAAAAAGCACGAUUUGUUACCCAUAUUCUUUUUUUCUUCUACCAAAGGCAGAUGCCACCUUUGUAAUCUGUCCCUGCUGGAGAUUAUAUAUUUCUUCUAGUGACUGAAUCAGUCACUAAAAAAGUAGAAAAGUUAAAGAAAAAAAAAGGAGGCAGAAAAUAGGGAUGUUUAAACUAUAUAGAAUGAAUAAAUAAUUCAAUGAUAUUAACCUCUCAACUACCUGCAAAGCUUUCUUUGUAGCUCAAAUCAUGAGCCAGCCUUGUGAGAGAAACGGUGUUUAUCAUUUAUUUAAUACACAUGGCUGCAGCCUAAGGAAGAAAAGUUUAAAAGUAAUGUCAACAGGCAAAGGAUCACACUAGGAGUCAUCGAACUCACCUUGCAUUUCUCCCUGAGGCAGAGCUGAUGUGAAUUCAUUCAGGGCCAUUCUAUUAUUCAUGCAAAGAACUGUCUAUCACAAAUGCAAUAUGAAAAGGAGGUGCGCCCCAUGUGAGGCAUGAAAUAUCAUCUCUAAUAACUGGCAGUUUAAUUCCAAGAUUUCGAGACUGCUCAUUUAAAAGUACCUGAAGCAAAGUUCUAAAGCACAAAAUGAUAAAGGAAAUCAUUGUUGUUAUACUUUAAGAAACCAUGUCUUAUAUCUGCUAGAAAAUACAAGAAAUUGGGUUAAAAGGAAGAUAUGAAAAAUAAUGCAAACACUGACAAUGGAAUGCCAUGGCAGCCAGUGCCUCAGAGUAAGAAUUUUUCAUAACUCUGGAACACAUUCACUAGGAUAUAGUCUUUGUAAUUAUCUUGGAAAACUGGUCUUAUUUCUCUCUAAUCAUAGAGCAAUUGAGAAAAGAAGUCACACAAAUUACAGCAGAAUCUAGAAUUUAUAGAAGAACCUAGAUCUUGAAGCAUAAUCAUUUUUGCCUGCUGAUAGACUAAAGCAUUGCUGACUCAGAUAUCUAGAAAGGACCAUAGGAAUCACCCACUAUAAUAAACUUUUUCGAAUGGUUAAGAAACUGAGACCCAGUGACAGACAUAAGACCAGAACUGUAUUACCUGAUAGUCUUUCUACCAUCCUCCAUACAUUUUUAAAAAUUAUACUAAAAAUAAUAUAAUAGUGUUUAAAUUUCCACUUUAUAAAUGUUCUCAAACCCUUUUACAUAUAUAAUGCUAUAAACCCUGCUUAACAGAUGCUUCGUAUUGAUGCAUUAAAGAAUGAGAAUAACUGUCUAACACCCCAAAUUAGAUGUGUUGUGGUGGUUUGUGGGGGCAAUAGGUAGGUUUGUGGGGUUCCUAAGUCAAGGCUCUAUAGGAAAACCAAAAUUAGAGCAAUGGGUAGAGAUGAUAAUAGAAAAGGAAGCCAAAGCCCACUCAGCCAAGGAAAGGAGUUAAAAAUAGGAGGUCAAACAGAAACCAGGGCUAUGGACCUAGGACUUCCUGUCCCAGGGAGACAAGUACAAGAGCAGCAGCAGAUGUAAUCAGGACCCCGUCUGGGGUAACAGCCUGGAGCAGAUGCUGUCUAUGAGUGGUCUCUAUGUGCCAGCUGUGGCAGGGUGAGUGGGUGGGCUGAUUAUGAUUAAAUACAGGAUUGAGACAGGCUCACACAUAUGGGAAAUGUUAAGCUGGUUUACUUGCUGUAUUUCUGGUCUAGCCUCAAAUUUUCUCCAGCUGGACACUUCUAGCAUAGUGAGAAAGCAUAAGCAACAACCAGAACCUCAGCCCACCCACUACUAAUGAGGCUUGGUUUUCUUCUUAGAGUCAGCUAGACCCCAAGAGCAUCUCUGACCAUCUCCAAUAGAAUAUGAAAGUCAU
rnacentral:lncRNA from 1 species